UCUUUGUAAUCAUUUAAAUGAAAGGGGGGAAUAUAGUCUUUGGAGAAAUAUCAGAACUGCUCCUUUUUCCCUCAGCGGGAGGGGCGUGUCCUCGUCUCUAUUUGAUUGACAGCAGUUGGAAAGUAGACGCAAAGUUAGCACGUGUGCACUGCAGCCUACGCAUGGACUCUACUGUGUCAACGAGCUUACAUAACGUUGACAGGGUUGUUAGCAGUGGUAAUAAAGAGUAAGGACCACACCAGCAUCGUAAACGGACUUAAGUGAGAUUAGCAGAUCAGUGCCAGCAGUGAGUCUGAUGUGAAGAGAAAAGGUGAUACAGAAGGAGAGAGGAGAGGAAAGAGAGUGGAUGUGAUGGACAUUGGCUGAAAAGUCUGGCCUUUCAGUAAUUGUGGCUGUGGUGGAGCAGAGGUCAGAGGCAGUCUGGAGAAGGAUGCCCAUGCCAGGAGGGAGGUCAAGGCACCAACUCAUUCCUCUUCCUAGACACUUCCAUUUAUCAGGCCCGACUGCAUGCAUCACACACCCUCAAGAUGACUGUGUUGAUUUAUGACCAACCUUGAAACCACUGUGUGCUGGUCAUCUCUAAUUACCUGCAUUAUGACUGAGGUCACAGUGGCUGCCUGCAUGUUUUCCAACACAAGUGCACAGCCUCUUUGCACAGUUUUAUGUAUUGUUUUAUGCUGAAGGUAGGUGAGAGUCAACAGUGGCUGUUAUGUAAAUCUGUCACAUUGUGUCAUUUUCGGCCCUUCAUCAUGACAAAAAUGACCUUUAUGUUGCUUGACAGGACGUCCGCCAAAAGGCCAUCCAUCCAAGUUUAUUUGCUUCUUCUUGGAAUUCCAGGGCAUAGAACAGCAGAUACCACUAUCACAUCCACAAUACCAUGUGAAGCAUAUACUGUCACAUGACCUACAGCAGCAAGUUGUGAGGACGACAAACAUACUGCGGGCAGAAUUACCAUGGAGAUGCACUCAGCCUAGUCAAAGGCCCAACAGAGCCAAUGGUUUAUUUCCAUUCCUCGGCCAGGGAAUUGUCUCCAGAAUGCUUGCAGUGAGAAAACUCAUUCCGAUGAUCUGGGUCAGAUAGAGGCACUUCCAUCGGCCACAGACAAUUCCGGCUCGGAACGACAUCAGAACUUUAAAG